GGCGGGCUCAGCGCACACGAGCCGGCGGGGGUGGGCGUCAGAGACACACACACAGGCACACGUAGGAAGACACAAACGCGCACACACAUGCACAGACACAACUGCUUGAGGCACUCUUUCACUCUUUAAUGUGCUCCAUGGUAUCUUUUUACUUCUCAUGAAAUCCAAGAGUUCAAAAUCUUAAGUAAUUUGUGCAAAAGUUAUACUUAUGUGUCUUAAGAUUAUUUUUAGGUAUUAGUUACAAAAAAAAAAAAAACCCAAAACAACUCACUCUUUCAUUAAAUAUUAAAAUACUACAUUUAAGUACUUUUUAAUAUCCCUGAAUACUAAAGCAUUCCUUCCACAGGUACUUUGGUUAAUUGAAAACACAAAGGUAUUACACCAAAACUGUUGUAACUGAGAGAAAGAGACUUCAGCUCAUUCAAUUUUUUAUGAUUGUUUCAGGGCAAAACAUUUUGCCCAAGUCAGUUCCCAGAAGUUGCCAUGAGGUAUAACUGAAAACAGAUGGGCAUUACAGAGUCCCAUAAUUUCCAAGUACCUUGGACAAGAUUCACAGUUCUCAUAUGUAGCUAUGUAAAGUUCUUGAACACACUAGAUUGCCCAGUGUUUCCUAUAAUCUGACCCUAUGUUAGUCUCAUGGAUGUUCACCAAGCUUAUCAUCAACAUUAAUCAUCUGUACAAAAAUCUGAAUUUUUAAAAGUACUUAUUGAUGUCCAUUAUUUUGUGAAUACUGAGAUGGAUAUAAAAUGACAUCUUUCAUUACCAACUGUUUCAUUGAAGAAAUUCUGACUACUUGAACUUGUUCCUUUUUCUGUCAAGCCAGCCAAUACCUGGAACCAUAAAAAGAAUUUACAGACACAGCCUGAUCUGGUAUUUAGUUGAAAGAUUUUCAUCUUAUGGGAGUUAUUUUGUUUAAAAAAUUAUGAACAAAGACGUUGAUGUUAGAGCAAAGAUAACUUUCAUUUCAAUGAUUGCUACAGCUUAAGAAAAACCUACCAAACUUGUUUUCAGACACCAGAAACCUCCUCAGUUUUUAAGAGAUAGCAAACUUCACAGACAUCACAGGCUGGAUACAUUAGUUUCAAAACACAGAGGUAUUUUUAAAGUAUGUCUCACACCACAACACCUAGAACAACUAUGUUACUUCUAGUUAUUAAACAAACUUAUCAUUAAAUAGAAACCUAUACUGAAAUGCUUAGUAGCAACAUAGAUGUGACUAAAAAAUAAUCUUCACUCAUGUCUCAAGCAGAAGUAGGGUCAAAAGAUACAGGCUACUCAUAUGGGCUUUUUCCAAUAUUAAAUCUAAAGCAUCUAUGUAGGCUCAGAGAGGCAACUUCCAACUCCAGUCUGGCUAGGAAACUGGUGGAAGCAGUCAGAAAUAGUGUAGGUUGGGGAAUUGGGUCAGGAAGCCUGCCCACUACUACAAAACAUGCUUCAACAUCCAACCAGGGUCAAUCUUGAAUCCUAAUUGUGUGGCACAAACCACAAGGGAAAUUAAAACUUCUGAGUUAAAAAAGUAUUUCAAAUGCUGGCACGAAGAGCUAGAGAACAAAAAUAGAAAUGAGGCAAGUUGGUGCUGGUAUCAGCUCAGAGCACUGGUAUAAAUACCAGGUAUUGGAGUUUUUAGUUCACAGAAGUCUCAUCCUGAGAGUCAAAAACAGCAGCUCCCACAAGACCAGAGGACAACUGCUGGAAGCCUUGUCACCCAGAAGCUUUAGCAAAUCCUCUUCAUACUGCGCAUUGAUGGUUAUGCUGGACAGCAAAACCUUGAUCGACUACUGCUGGAAAAGAAUCAGCUCACUCAAGGAGAGCACGUGUACACGAGUUCUCUGUCUGGUACCACGUCUGACAAACCAACGUCAUUAUUAGAAGACAAAUAAUGCUGACUACACAGCAACCUGGCAAGCACUUCAUAAGGAAUACUGCUGGAUAUUCUGCUAUCAUCACUUUUGAUUUGUACACUGGAAUCAGAAAAUGAAUGCAGACUGGGAGUCAACUGCCUUGCUGAGUGACGUCCUUUUGCUUGUUCAUUUUGUUUGACUCUCCUCUCAGAUAAUACUGGAGUAGUACUCCCAGGCUUAUCUUCUUUAUUUUGGUUAAUUAUUUGAGCUUCAUUUUCCUUCCAUGAACCUGGUUGAUAUGGCUGUCCAGCAGCUUGAACUUCUCUUAUUUCUCUAAGUGAUGAAAAGGCAUUAUUCACAAAUAUCUGGGAUUGAAACGUGCCAGAAGGAGGAAGUUGGACAUCUCCAGCUCUGCUCUGAAACAGAAGAUUCCAAUAAAGAAACUGAGACAACUAGAGGAAAAAAAAGGAGUUUUGCAACUGCCAAAUAUACUGGGGUCUGCAGAGAAAAACAGUCUUUGCCUAAUGUAGGAGCUUUAAUAUCUCCUUCGAAAAAUCCAGAUGGAUUACUAUUAUUUCACAAAGUAGAACCUAAAACCUUACAUAAUAUUUAGAAAUUACAAUUACAAAAUUGUAGUUGCCUGAAACUAAUGUCAUGGCUACAGAAAAAUCUAUCAGGACUGGACAUAUACACUGCAAUUAUUUACAAGAUAAUUUAUGGUUUCCAGAAGGUACAUUGUAUAGCCGCUCUUGUAAGAUCAGGUUUCUUAGAAACACUAUGCUUCAUUAUUAAAUGUUCUGAAAAACCUGA